rnacentral:rRNA from 1 species
UCAAGCUAAAAAGGGCGCAAGGUGAAUGCCUUGGCACUGGGAGCCGAUGAAAGACGUGGUAAGCUGCGAAAAGCUUCGGGGAGGAGCAAACAUCCAUUGAUCCGGAGAUAUCUGAAUGGGGCAACCCAAUGGAGUUCAUACUCCAUUAUCCAAUACUGAAUCCAUAGGUAUUGGAAGGGAACCGCCUGAACUGAAACAUCUAAGUAGGGCGAGGAAGAGACAUCAAACGAGAUUCCGUAAGUAGUGGCGAGCGAACGCGGAAGAGGGCAAACCGAGAGGAGAAAUCCUUUCGGGGUACGGACUGCUUUUAGGACUGAAAGAGUUAACAGAAUGGCAUGGGAAGGCCAACCAAAGAGUGUGAGAGUCACGUAAGUAAAAAUUCUGACAGCUGCGCAGGAUCCAGAGUACGGCCAGACACGUGAAACCUGGUCGGAAUAUGGGGGGACCACCCUCCAACCCUAAAUACUACCCAGUGACCGAUAGCGUAUAGUACUGUGAAGGAAAGGUGAAAAGGACCCCGGGAGGGGAGUGAAAGAGAACCUGAAACCUUGUGCCUACAAGCACAUAGAGCCCGUCAAAGGGUGAUAUGGUACUUUUUGUAGAACGGUCCGGCGAGCGAUUGUACGUUGCGAGCUUAAGGUCUUAAGGACUGGAGGCGUAGCGAGAGCGAGUCUAAACAGGGCGUUUAGUAGCGUGCAAUGGGCCCGAAACCGGGUGACCUACCCAUGAUCAGGCUGAAGUGAAAGUAAAAUUUCAUGGAGGGCCGAACCGACCUCCGUUGAAAAGGCGGCGGAUGAAUUGUGGGUAGCGGAGAAAUUCCAAUCGAACUCGGAGAUAGCUGGUUCUCCCCGAAAUAGCUUUAGGGCUAGCCUCAUGUUAGAUAUCCGGAGGUAAAGCACUGAAUGGCCUAGCGUCCGAGAGGAUAGCGAAGCCUAUCAAACUAAGAAUGCCGGAAUAUUGAUGCAUGGGAGUCAGACAGUGUGAGAUAAAUCUCAUUGUCAAAAGGGAAACAGCCCAGAUCUACAGCUAAGGUCCCAAAUUGUAUCUAAGUGGAAAACGAUGUGGAAAUACGCAGACAACCAGGAUGUUGGCUCAGAAGCAGCCACUCAUUUAAAGAGUGCGUAAUAGCUCACUGGUCGAGCGUCUCUGCGCGGAAAAUUUAACGGGGCUAAGAUACAAACCGAAGCUUAGGCUGCACGUAAGUGCGGGGUAGGGGAGCGUUGUGUAAGCGGAGAAACAGUAGCGUAAGCGGCUGUGGAGUUUACAGAAGUGAGAAUGCCGGAAUGAGUAGCGCGAAUGAUGUGAGAAUCAUCAUGGCCGGAAACCUCAGGUUUUUGGAGGAAGGUUCGUCCGCUCCAAGUUAGGCGGGAGCUAAGGUGAGGCCGAAAGGCGUAGCCGAUGCACAGACGGUAGAGAUUCCGUCCCCACCGAAAGAUUUAAGCGCAGGGACACUUUUAGAAGGUCGGAGCCAGGUGUUGGUUCUGGUAGAGAUCGAGGGAAGAUUAGUACCGAAGUCCGGCUGGAUAAGAGGCGAGAAAAGCUGCGUGUAUAUCUAAGGUGCCCGUACCGCAAACCGACACAGGUAGGUAGGAAGAAGAUUCUAAGGCCAACGGGAGAAGGGUUGUUAAGGAACUCGGCAAGUUGACCCCGUAACUUCGGAAUAAGGGGUGCUCAUGAAAGUGAGCCGCAGAGAAUAGGCCCAGGCAACUGUUUACCAAAAACACAGGUUUGUGCUAAAUCGAAAGAUGACGUAUACGAGCUGACGCCUGCCCGGUGCUGGAAGGUUAAAAGGAGAUGUGCAAGCAUUGAAUUGAAGCCCCAGUGAACGGCGGCCGUAACUAUAACGGUCCUAAGGUAGCGAAAUUCCUUGUCAGGUAAGUUCUGACCCG